rnacentral:rRNA from 1 species
GCUAGAAUCCUUUACAAUGCGCGCAAGCGUGAUAAGGGAAACCCAAGUGCUCACUUCAAGUGGGCUUUUGCCAAGUGUAAAUAUCUUGGCGAAUAAGUGGUGGGAAAGACUGGUGCCAGCCGCCGCGGUAACACCAGCGCCACAAGUGGUGAUCACAUUUAUUGGGUCUAAAGCGUCUGUAGCCGAUUUAGUAAAUCUUUUGUGAAACUGUGAGGCUUAACCUUACAACGUGCAAAAGAGACUGCUAAGUUAGGGACCGGGAGAGGUAAUGAGAACUCCUUGGGAAGCGGUAAAAUGUUUUAAUCCUUGGAGGACUACCUAUGGCGAAGGCACAUUACCAGAACGGAUCCGACGGUGAGAGACGAAAGCUAGGGGAGCGAUCAGG